UUUAACCUAAUAACAGAUUUUUUCAUAACAAAACAUGGCCAUUCCCAUAUGCUCAUUUGCUAAGCAUACACCAUCAAUCCCAACUAUUUCAAUCUCCUUUUAUCCUUGUACAAAUUCACAUCUCAAAGCAAUCAAUUAUGGCUGCCUUCCAACCUAAAGCCAUUCUUCUUCGAUUUACAGCCUUAAUUUGGUCACAGACGAAGCGUUAACUAUGACUACUAAGGGUGUGGAUGCUUCUAGAGUGGAACUGGAGUUUGCGCAGGAAAUGGAAAAGGUUUUUGAUAAAAAAAGGAGCGAAAAUGAGGUUGAGAGACAUUGGUGCAAAGGAGUUGUAGAGAGAAGGAAGAGAAGAAGAAAAAGAAGAAGGGACUUAGAAUGUUUGGAGCAUGAGAAAAAUGAAAAACAUGUAUUUUUCAAGGCUGCCAAGAAGCAGUCAUACUUGACACCUAAAGAAGAGGCAAAGUUUUCUUGGUACCUUAAGGAAAAAAGGUUGAACCUGUGAGAAAGAAAAUAGCAGACAUGGGAGAAGAAGAAUUAACCUCAAGUCAAUGGGCUAAGGCUUCAGGAAUCACUCAGCAAAGGCUUGUAUAUAUUUUAUGUUAAGAGAGAGAAUCACAGGAUCGAAUUUGCAGCUGUUAUCAGAGACUUGUUAUUGCAGUCGCUAGAUCUCAUCAAGGAAUAGGGUUGAGCUUCAAAGAUUUAAUUCAGAAAGGAAGAAUUGGGCUAAUUCGAGGGGCGAUAAGAUUUAACACGAAGAGAGGUUGUAAGUUAUCCACAUACGGUUACUAGUGGAUUAGGCAAGCUAUUAGCAGAGCCAUAGCCAGCAAAUCAACGAUAUUCCAAUUGACGGACAUCAUACCGGGGCGAAAUGAAACGAAACUAGAGGCAAUGGAGAAGAAAGAGAUGUUGAAAAGAGAAAUACAAAAGCUUCUUAACUAGUUGCCUGAGAGAGGAAAAUGUCUUAAGACUGCACUAUGGCCUUAAUGGCUGCACUCCAUGUUCCUUUGAAGAGAUAGGAAAUUUAUUUAAACUUUCAAGGGAGAGGAUUCGGCAGAUUAAUAGCACUGCAUUGUCUAAAUUACAAAGGACUAGUGGGAUAAAUGAUCUCAAAUAUUUGAUAUAGCUUUUACUAUAUAUAAAGAAUACAUGCUUACAGUACAUAAAUCAUGGAUUUGUAUAUCCAUUUUCUACAAA